rnacentral:misc_RNA from 1 species
GAAAUGCGAUAAGUAGUGUGAAUUGCAGAAUUCAGUGAAUCAUCGAAUCUUUGAACGCACAUUGCGCCUUCCGGCAUUCCGGGAGGCAUGCCUGUCCGAACGUCAUCAAGCCUCUCGCCUUGUGCCUUUGCUGAUGUGAAGGCGCAGCGGCGGCGAUUGGGGGAUGGAGCGCUGUGAAGGCGCCCCACCCCCGGAAUCCACCGGCGGUACCCUAGCGGCUGCGAUUGUGAUAAGUCUUUAUAACAGUCUCAAGUCUCCCGGUGUACCAGCCGCAAGCUGGAGCGUGAGCAUCUCCACGGAUGCGCGCGUCUCAACAGACCAAUACUUUUGACUUCGGAUCAGGUAGGGAUACCCGCUGAACUUAA